rnacentral:lncRNA from 1 species
UAACAAUAACUGAGUGUUGACCAGUCCCAGCAGCCAUACUUCAACUACUCAUAGACUGCUAAAUGUUCAAAUAAGGCAAAUGCUGAGUUGUAACCAGUCUCACUAUUUCUGUUCCUCACUUCUGAUUCCUGUACGUCACCUUACCUUUUUUGUCUGUAAAUUUAUUCUGACUGUGAGGCACCCCCGGAGAAUUUGUGAAUCUGCUGUGAUUCUAGGGACUGCCCGAUUUGCGAAUCAUUCAUUGCUCAGGUAAACUCCUUUAAAUUUAAUUUGGCUGAAGUUUUUCUUUUAUCAGAUGGUGUCAGAAGCAGGAUCCGAAGUGGAGCUUCUAGUGACUCCCAGGAGCGCUGAGUGAACACACAAGGUACCUGCAGGUCCCACCUGUGUCCAUUGAUCUCUCAGAGCGGCUGGGGAUCGCGCAGGAUGGUGCAGCAAGCUGGGUCACUAGAGCCACUCAGGGAAAGGGAGCCCAGAGCCUGGCAUGCCGGCCAAAAGGUAAAGAAAGCUUUUUAUGGUUCACUGAGGACAAUCCCUUCAUAAUCUAGAACCUGAAGAUUAGAUCUUCUGAAAACAUCAGAGAAAGACUGUCAUUGCCCUCCACACUACAGCAAAACUUUGGAGACUUGAACUUUGGGUCCAUAAUCUCACAACUGAGAAGGGUUCCUUCACACUCCUGGAACUGUACACCCAUUGGACCCCUUAAGCUAAUCUAACCAGGACAGUUUCUCCCCAGAAGAAGAUGACAUCCUUGAUGUGAACAGUUUUUCCCAAGAUCAUGGAUCAAGACUUCUGCUAUCACAAGACUCUGAUCUUUGAAUAUUUUUUCCUUGUGUAUGCCUCUAUGAGCAGUAUAAAUGAAAAGGAGGUCUAUUAUGUGCACUUAUAGGGUAUAAUUUUAUUUGUGAAGGAUUUUGCAGCCAGCCUUAUACAUGAAUAGCCUUAUACUUUAAUAGAUAAAAAAUGAAGGCCCAGUGUAGGUGAGAAACUUUAGU